rnacentral:rRNA from 1 species
AGUAACGCAGCGAAAGCUGCGCUAAUACCGCAUACGAUCUACGGAUGAAAGCAGGGGAUCGCAAGACCUUGCGCGAAUGGAGCGGCCGAUGGCAGAUUAGGUAGUUGGUGAGGUAAAGGCUCACCAAGCCUUCGAUCUGUAGCUGGUCUGAGAGGACGACCAGCCACACUGGGACUGAGACACGGCCCAGACUCCUACGGGAGGCAGCAGGG